rnacentral:rRNA from 1 species
AUGAACGCUGGCGGCGUGCCUAAUACAUGCAAGUCGAACGGAGAAUAUAGCAAUAUGUUCUUAGUGGCGAACGGGUGAGUAACGCGUUGGUGACCUGCCCCGAAGCGGGGGAUAACAGUCCGAAAGGAUUGCUAAUACCCCAUGUGAUCACCGGGAUUAGAAUCCGGUGAUUAAAGGAGAAAUUCACUUUGGGAGGGACCUGCGUCCCAUCAGCUUGUUGGUAAGGUAACGGCUUACCAAGGCAAUGACGGGUAGGGGACCUGAGAGGGUGGACCCCCACAAUGGCACUGAAACACGGGCCAUACACCUACGGGUGGCAGCAGUAGGGAAUAUUGGUUAAUCUACGAAAGUGGGAACCAGCAACGCCGCGUGUGCGAUGAAGGCCUUCGGGUCGUAAAGCACUUUUUACAGGGACGAGGAAGGACGGUACCUGUAGAAUAAGCCUCGGCUAACUACGU